rnacentral:rRNA from 1 species
UACAGAGGUCUCAAGCGUUGUUCGGAUUCAUUGGGCGUAAAGGGUUGCGUAGGCGGCGCGGUAAGUCGGGUGUGAAAUCUCGGAGCUUAACUCCGAAACUGCAUUCGAUACUGCCGUGCUUGAGGACUGGAGAGGAGACUGGAAUUUACGGUGUAGCGGUGAAAUGCGUAGAUAUCGUAAGGAAGACCAGUGGCGAAGGCGGGUCUCUGGACAGUUCCUGACGCUGAGGCACGAAGGCCAGGGGAGCAAACGGG